rnacentral:rRNA from 1 species
GACGAACGCUGGCGGCGUGCUUAACACAUGCAAGUCGAACGGAAAGGCCCUGCUUUUGUGGGGUGCUCGAGUGGCGAACGGGUGAGUAACACGUGAGUAACCUGCCCUUGACUUUGGGAUAACUUCAGGAAACUGGGGCUAAUACCGGAUAGGAGCUCCUGCUGCAUGGUGGGGGUUGGAAAGUUUCGGCGGUUGGGGAUGGACUCGCGGCUUAUCAGCUUGUUGGUGGGGUAGUGGCUUACCAAGGCUUUGACGGGUAGCCGGCCUGAGAGGGUGACCGGCCACAUUGGGAAUGAGAUACGGCCCAGACUCCUACGGGAGGCAGCAGUGGGGAAUAUUGCAAAAUGGGCGGAAGCAUGAUGCAGCAACGCCGCGUGCGGGAUGACGGCCUUCGGGUUGUAAACCGCUUUCGCCUGUGACGAAGCGUGAGUGACGGUAAUGGGUAAAGAAGCACCGGCUAACUACGU